rnacentral:rRNA from 1 species
GGCGAACGGGUGCGUAACACGUGAACAACCUGCCCUCGUGUGGGGGAUAGCCAUGCUAACGCGUGGGUAAUACCGCAUACGUUCCUCUGGGGGAGUCCCUGGGGGAGGAAAGCUCCGGCGCACGGGGAGGGGUUCGCGGCCUAUCAGCUAGUUGGCGGGGUAAUGGCCCACCAAGGCGACGACGGGUAGCUGGUCUGAGAGGAUGGCCAGCCACAUUGGGACUGAGAGACGGCCCAGACUCCAUACGGGAGGCAGCAGUGGGGAAUCUUGCGCAAUGGCCGAAAGGCUGACGCAGCGACGCCGCGUGUGGGAUGAAGCAUUUCGGUGUGUAAACCACUGUUGCCCGGGACGAACAGCCUGUUUCGACAGGCCUGACGGUACCGGGUGAGGAAGCACCGGCUAACUCCGUGCCAGCAGCCGCGG